rnacentral:tmRNA from 1 species
GGGGGCGUUUUGGCUUCGACUGUUUGGAAGUUUUGAAAGAAAAGCAUGCGAGCUCUUCCCACUCUGACGGGAUAUGGCAUUUAACUGCCGACAAUAACGAUUUCGCUUUGGCUGCAUAAGCCUUUGCCCAACCUAAGCUAAGCAUCCCGUGCUGAAAGUUGGUUAACCUCAGGGAUGAUCGGAGGAUGUCUGCGACAGAUAUUCUCUUAAAUUUAGUCGCUGGAUGCUAUUAGAGGCUGACUAUUGCCGCUAAAAGUAUCGAGAAACAAAUAAUAGUCUGAGCAUGGAGAAAGCUUUCUAGGCGCCGGCAGAACGCGGGUUCAACUCCCGCCGUCUCCAAAU